rnacentral:sRNA from 1 species
AAGGCUGAGACAUCCAAACGGCAGAGAUACAGAUACAGAACCGGUGCGCAUCUCAAUUCAGCAAAUACUGAAAAUGGAAUUCUUGCCGAAAACCACAAAAUGCAAUCCGGAUUCCGCGGAUGCAUCGGCUCCAGAAGUGGCCAAAAAGAGGCAAGAAGUGGCCAAAAAGAGGCAAGAAGUGGCCAAAAAUAGGCCAGAAUUUUCGCCGGAGAGGAUCGCGGUAACUCCUCGGAGGUCGCCCAGUCCCCUUGGAGAAUUAAGUAAUGUAAUGAGUCCUUUGCCGAAUCUUCCGAGCCCCCCCCGUGCAGUGGAGGAUAAUUUAAUUAAUUUAUCGGCCACGCCUCCUCGCAAAAGAAGGAGGUUCCACCCCACAAUUUUUUGGAAGCCGGAAUCGCACAAGGACGGCAGUGGUCGAGAGUGGACCACAUUAAAAUAUCAAUGCGAAAUUUGUUUUAAAAUUUGCCAAAAACCGAAGGCAUAUGAGAACCACAUAAUGUUGUGCAAAAAUGAUUGCAAAACAGUGGCUUGCAAGUGGUGCCCCUAUGUCCAAAAGUCCUCCAAUUUGGGAAAUCACUGGAAGAGGUGCAUAGGGGGGAAAAAAUUGUAUAUCCCCAUUGGGGAACAAUUGAAGCAGCGGAAAAUGUGGUCCGAAAUGAAGGACACGUCGGGAUCGAAAUCGCAAGUGGAAAGUGUGGCCUCCACCCAAGAUUUUGGAUUUUCGGAAACGAUGCAGUUCGUCUUCAAUUCCAUUGAUGAAGACUUUUGAAAAAAUAUUGCCCACGGAGAAGUUACUUCCUUUCGUGUUUUAUUUUACCUCUCGCUGAAAACCCGAUCCAGCUUUCACAUAAUCCUGCCCAGCUUGUCCAGCUUACAACAACUAUUUUACAGAAUUUCCCUGGUUAUUAUUAUCUGCAUAUACAUACAUAUA